UUCUCUAAAUUGAUUCUUAAAUUUUUAAAUUAUUAGGUCCAUAAAAUGAGCUAGUUAUGGGGAUAACUAGAUCAUAGCCUUCUAUUAAGGUGAAUGAUAAUGGGUCUAUUAUUUUUUAUUGACAUUGCAGAUGCUAUCCGUCUAGUGUUCUCUCUGAAUGAUGAAAUUAUCAUUCAUCAUAUGAUGACUCUGUUGUGCUAUCUGAUGAUGGUUGGGUUAAUCGAGCCAUCUUCGAGCCUGAUCAUUCAUUAGUUAGAAAUACUGAGUAGGUUCAUAUUAAUAGUUUGACCUAAUCAAAACUUUCAGUGGAGGUCUAUCAUCUACUGAAAUGAAAUUUGAGAUAAAAUUAAUUACUAAAAAUUAUUUAGAGA
rnacentral:lncRNA from 1 species